UCUAGACAUUGUAGUUUAUGCCUGUAAUCUCAGUUACUCAGGAGGCUGAAGCAGGAAAAUUGUUUGAGCCCAGGAGGACUAAGGCUAGGGGUGCACUAUGCUGAUUCAGGUGUCUGCACCAAUUUUAGCAUCAAUAUGGUGACCUCCCCAAAGUGGGGAACCACCAAGUUGCCUAAGGAAGGGUGAACUGCCCACGUCAGAAACUGAGCAGGUAAAAAUUCUCAAGCUAAUCAGUGGUGGGAUCACACCUGUGAAUAGUGCAUAGCCACUGUACCUCCGUCUGGGCAACAUAGCAAGACCCUGCUUUA
rnacentral:SRP_RNA from 1 species